rnacentral:rRNA from 1 species
GACGAACGCUGGCGGCGUGCUUAACACAUGCAAGUCGAACGGAAAGGCCCUGCUUUUGUGGGGUGCUCGAGUGGCGAACGGGUGAGUAACACGUGAGUAACCUGCCCUUGACUUUGGGAUAACUUCAGGAAACUGGGGCUAAUACCGGAUAGGAGCUCCUGCUGCAUGGUGGGGGUUGGAAAGUUUCGGCGGUUGGGGAUGGACUCGCGGCUUAUCAGCUUGUUGGUGGGGUAGUGGCUUACCAAGGCUUUGACGGGUAGCCGGCCUGAGAGGGUGACCGGCCACAUUGGGACUGAGAUACGGCCCAGACUCCUACGGGAGGCAGCAGUGGGGAAUAUUGCACAAUGGGCGGAAGCCUGAUGAAGCAACGCCGCGUGCGGGAUGACGGCCUUCGGGUUGUAAACCGCUUUCGCCUAUGACGAAGCGUGAGUGACGGUAAUGGGUAAAGAAGCACCGGCUAACUACGUG